rnacentral:tmRNA from 1 species
GGGGGCGCCACGGUUUCGACGGGGGUGAAGAAGCGUUGGUUGCGUGUCCGUCGACCUUGGGACGACGUAAAAACCUCAAGGAAAAAACAACUGCCAACGAUAACGCAGUCGCUCUCGCGGCCUAAAUAAGCCAAGGGAGCCGUCGAAGCGAAAAAGCCCGCCGGUGCUUUUCGCGGAGGCGUGGAUUGAACUGGCUAGCCUAAUCCCCGCAACCUGGGAGGCCGGCGAAACUUUUGGUUGCUAGCUGCGGCCUGAGCCCGUCCGCGGGCGCAAAUCGCGGUGAAACCAAAACGCGGAAUACGCACGUAGAGGCCACCGUGGAACACUUUCGGACGCGGGUUCGACUCCCGCCGCCUCCACCA